GUGGGGAAUAUUGCACAAUGGGGGAAACCCAGAUGCAGCAACGCCGCGUGAAGGAAGAAGUAUUUCGGUAUGUAAACUUCUAUCAGCAGGGAAGAAAAUGACGGUACCUGACUAAGAAGCCCCGGCUAACUACGUGCCAGCAGCCGCGGUAAUACGUAGGGGGCAAGCGUUAUCCGGAUUUACUGGGUGUAAAGGGUGCGUAGGUGGUAUGGCAAGUCAGAUGUGAAAGCGCGGGGCCCAACCUCGGGACUGCAUUUGAAACUGCCAGACUAGAGUGCAGGAGAGGGAAGUGGAAUUCCUAGUGUAGCGGUGAAAUGCGUAGAUAUUAGGAAGAACACCAGUGGCGAAGGCGGCUUACUGGACUGUAACUGACACUGAGGCUCGAAAGCGUGGGGAGCAAACAGGAUUAGAAACCCCGGUAGUCC
rnacentral:rRNA from 1 species